rnacentral:misc_RNA from 1 species
GAUGAAGAACGUAGCGAAAUGCGAUACUUGGUGUGAAUUGCAGAAUCCCGUGAACCAUCGAGUCUUUGAACGCAAGUUGCGCCUCAAGCCAUUAGGUUGAGGGCACGUCUGCCUGGGCGUCACAUAUCGUUGCCUGAUGCCAGUUUCCUCGUGAUGGGUGACUGUGCAGGGCGAAUGAUGGCUUCCCGUGAGCAUUGUUGCCUCAUGGUUGGUUGAAAAUUGAGUCCUUGGUAGGGAGCGCCGUGAUAGAUGGUGGUUGAGUGACGAACGAGACCCAAUCAUGUGAGACCCCUACCGANNNNNNCCUUCAUGACCCACAUGCGUCUUUGGAACGCUCAUGACGAGACCUCAGGUCAGGCGGGGCUACCCGCUGAGUUUAAGCAUAUCAAUAAGCGGAGGA